rnacentral:rRNA from 1 species
GACGUAGGGCGCGAGCGUUGUCCGGAAUUAUUGGGCGUAAAGAGCUCGUAGGCGGUCUGUCGCGUCGGUCGUGAAAACUGGGGGCUUAACUCUCAGCUUGCAGUUGAUACGGGCAGACUUGAGUUCGGUAGGGGAGACUGGAAUUCCUGGUGUAGUGGUGAAAUGCGUAGAUAUCGGGAGGAACACCAGUGGCGAAAGCGGCUACCUGGCCCAUUCUUGACGCUGAGGCGCGAAAGCUAGGGGAGCAAACAGG